AUUGAACGCUGGCGGCAGGCUUAACACAUGCAAGUCGAGCGGGGGAAGGUAGCUUGCUACUGGACCUAGCGGCGGACGGGCGAGUAAUGCUUAGGAAUCUGCCUAUUAGUGGGGGACAACAUCUCGAAAGGGAUGCUAAUACCGCAUACGUCCUACGGGAGAAAGCAGGGAAUCUUCGGACCUUGCGCUAAUAGAUGAGCCUAAGUCGGAUUAGCUAGUUGGUGGGGUAAAGGCCUACCAAGGCGACGAUCUGUAGCGGGUCUGAGAGGAUGAUCCGCCACACUGGGACUGAGACACGGCCCAGACUCCUACGGGAGGCAGCAGUGGGGAAUAUUGGACAAUGGGGGGAACCCUGAUCCAGCCAUGCCGCGUGCGUGAAGAAGGCCUUAUGGUUGUAAAGCACUUUAAGCGAGGAGGAGGCUACUCUAGUUAAUACCUAGGGAUAGUGGACGUUACUCGCAGAAUAAGCACCGGCUAACUUCGUGCCAGCCGCCGCAGUAA
rnacentral:rRNA from 1 species